UAAUACGAAGGGGGCAAGCGUUGUUCGGAAUUACUGGGCGUAAAGGGAGUGUAGGCGGUUUGAUAAGAUAGGGGUGAAAUCCCAGAGCUCAACUCUGGAAUUGCCUUUAUAACUAUCAGACUUGAAUUAUAGAGAGGAUAGUGGAAUACCCAGUGUAGAGGUGAAAUUCGUAGAUAUUGGGUAGAACACCAGUGGCGAAGGCGACUAUCUGGCUAUACAUUGACGCUGAGGCUCGAAAGCAUGGGGAGCAAACAGG
rnacentral:rRNA from 1 species